UUUCCGGCAACCUAUUGUUAGUUCAAGGGGGUUAAAUGUAACAAUUUAUUAGUUUAAGGAGGUUUUAUGUAGUUCAAGGGGUUAGUUGCAAAACCCAAUACUUCAAGGGAGUUUUUUACACUUUUCCCUUAUUAUUAUUAUUAUUAUUAUUAUGGAGUUUUAUUUUUAUUUUUUUCCAAAUCAUUGGCAGGCAAGUCAAGAUAUGAGCUAUAUGCAUUUUUUUUAUUUUUUUUAUUUAUCAUUGAUAAGAAACUCACACACUUAUUUAUUCCUACGGAUGGAAUAUGAAUGGAAUAUUAACAUUGAAUAUGAAUGGAAGCCCCAAGUAUGACUAAGAGAACACUAAUUUUAUGGGAAAAUGUGGCCUAGGGGUUAGAGAGUUCAAGUCUGCUUUGGGACAAAAAUGGGCACGUGAUAGGUAAAAAAAAAAAAAUUUAAAGUAUAACGUAUAACACAGUUUUUGUACAUAAUAUAGCCAGAUUUAGAGAGUGAAAAUAGUUCUGAUUUUUUUUUUUUUUGUAAUUUUUUUUUUUUGGUUUUUUGUGUGGUUUAUUUUAAUGGAAAGCAAACGCAUGAAGCUAGUAAAUAAGCAAGGGAGCAAAGAGAAGGUUCACAAAUUCCUUCUUUAUAUCAAACAAGAGAAUGGGAAAAGAAAGCGAUUGGAUAUUCUAGGGUUUACAUGAGGAACACGAAACCACCAUUGAAGAGGGUCAAAUCUCCUCCCAUCUGCCAUAGUGUGAUUCAAAUCUCAAAAUGAAAUCGAAAAGGUAUUACAGAAUGUUAACACUGGAGGGAUAUUUUGACUAUUUUGAGUUCUGUGCCUAUUCGGUUGAAUAUUUUUGGACUCCUAAUUCACUAUUAUAUUAAUUCAUCAUUUUCGAAACCUCUUUUUCUUGAUGUAUUGUCUCUCUCGAGCAAGAUGGACCCAGAAAAAUAUGUGAGAGGGAGCAAUCUUGUAACAUUCUGAAUUUUUUUACUUGGUUUAAUUUAGUUCUUUAUUUAUUAUUAUGAACUUAUUAAUAUUUAUUUAAACUUAAAUAUUUAUAUUUAAUUGAGUUGAGAAAACAAAAAUAAAAAAUUUCAUUUUUAUAAACAAUUAAUUUCUAGCAUUAGAAUUGUUUACACAUGCAUGGUACGUGGUACUUAGAAGUAUUUGCACAUGUUUGUUAUAUAUUCAUGUGUAUGGUAUCAAUUAGAGCUUUAAAGUUGGUGGGCUGGCUGUGAUGAAUUUCAAGUUAGGUGGAUAACUAUUGAAACUAAUAGUUGCCAGCACCAUGUGUGUGUUUGUAUACAUAUAUAUUAUAUAUAUCAUGCGACUUGUAUAGAUAUGUAUUUAUAUAGAAGCAUGUUGGUAAGCUUUGGAUGACUUAUUUAAGGAAUAAAUUAAGAAAGAGGGUAUUAGUGGGCUUGGACACAUGUCACACACCUAAUAAAAGUUUCAUAUAUACAUUAUUUUACCUCUUGCGCUUUGGGAGUUCUAUGGACCAGCACUUUAAAACCAAAGUUGUGUAGAAAAGGAAAAGAAAAAGAAAAGAAACAGUGGGACUAGAAAAGCCGGACCAGAUAAGAGAACACGGAAAGUGAAAGAGAGUGAGAAAAGAAGAGAGAGAACCAGAAAAUCGGUGUUCUGCAGAGAAGGAGGAAAAGUAGAAAUAGUGGAAGGAAGAGGAGACAAAUAAGGAAAGGUAGAGAAAUUUGUGUUUGCAGUCGUAAAUGUAGAAAAUUUUGUAGUUUUAAUUUUAUAUUGAAAGUUUAUCUUAUCUCAUUGUUCAAUGAAUUAUUAUUGAGGUACUCUUGAACAAAAUCCAUUCCUUUCAUUAUUUCUUUCUUAAUUAAGUUGUUAAAUUAUAUGAAGCAAUACAUUUCUUACUUGUUUGUAAUUACUGCACUGAAAUUUAAUUUAUGUGGUUGUAAUUAGAAUUUCAAUUACAAUUACGUACCAAGGUUGAGAUUUAUAUUUAAAUUGAUGAUUAAUUGUUAAUUAUAAUGUUGUAUAUGCAAGGAGAAUGAAUUGACAACUUCCACAUUACCAAGGGAUAAGUAAAUAAUUCGGCAAGUAGUCAAGAUGAGUGUACUCACUGGAAGUUUAUAUUUGAAUGUGUUAAUUGAAGUAUCGAAGAUAUUUAUUUGAUGUGGAAAUGUUUAUAUAUAUUAUAUAAGGUCUAUACUCUCUGGCUUGGAAAGAGAGUAAUAUAUUAUAUAAUGUUUAUACUCUGGCUGGAGGAGAGUAAUAUAUUACAUAAGGUCCAUACUGUGGCCUGGAAGGAGAGUAAUAUUUUAUAUAAGGUCCAUACUCUAGUUUAAAAGGAGAGUACUAUAUCAUAUAAGGUUCAUAUUUUGGCCUAAAAUGAGAGUACUAUAUUUUAAUGCAUGUAAAGUUGGAAGUUAUAUAUUAAUGAAGUUUAAUUGAAGUUAUCAGAAAAUAUUUGUUUAUAUUACUCUGAUGUAGUAGUGUUGCAUUCACUGGGCUUUAAGUUCACUCCUUCCAUAUCUAUAUUUUUCAGUUAUAUGAUUUGGUUGCUACUGCUAAGCCUAGAGUCUUGGGGUAUUGAAUGGGGAAAGGAGCAACAGAAAGUCAUUUGUAUAAUAUGUAAUUAUUGUAAAAGAAUUUGUUAAUAGAACUUGUAAUUUAUGGUUCAGUUGUGUCAGAUUUGUGUAAUAGGCUAGUGAUUUGCUUUGUUUGUAUUUUGUUUAAACUACUAAACAGGCACUCUGACGUGUGAUGACGUCACGUAGCUAUGAUGUUAAUGAAGAUGGUUAGAUGCAUUCUAAUUGUUCAAUUUAUUAAAUAGUGUAAAUUAGGUUGGGGUGCAUCAGUUUUUUGUAUCAGAGCCUAGGUUUUCUAGGUUUUGGAGGUAGUAAAAGUCUAGACUGACAGUGGUAGUAGGAAGUGUGUAGUAGAGUCAUUUAUUUGACUUGAGUUGAUACUAACAAAUAAGUAAAGCGGAUAUGUAUUAAACAUAUAUAUGUUGUUAUAUUUGAGAUUCAUUGUAGAUAAUAAGUUAUGGAAGGAGGAAGUGGUUAUCAUGGAACCGAGGAAAAAACCUUUUAUAUUCCUGUUGAGGCUGAAGUGGAACAAUCUAUUCAGGGUGGUAUGGGAAGAGAAUAGGAGCAGUUAACUAACAUGCAGAAAAUGGAUAGAGCUAUAACAAGAUUGGCAAAACAAAAUGAAAGGUUUAUUGCAAGUCAAAUCAUGGUACAAGAAAGGCAGGAGAGAUAACAGGAAUGAAAGAAAAGCUCUGAUCAUGAAAGGUUUAUAAAGCUAACACCUUUAGAAUUUGAAGGGACUACGAAACUAGAAGAAGCAUAGGGGUGCGUAAGAAGGAUGGAAUCAAUAUUUGCAGUAAUGGGUGCAGUUAAAGAUCAAAAAGUAAACUAAGCUACAUAUAUGUUAAAAAAAUGAAGCUAGUUAUUGGUGGGAAACAACAGAACAAUUAUUGCUUACUCUAGGGGAAAGAGAGGUGAUAUUCUGGAAUCCAUUUGUUAAAUCUUUUUAUGAAAAGUAUUUCCCUCCAGUUUACAGAAAACAGAAGGAGUGGGUGUUUAUUCCUCUAAAACAAGAUAGAAUGUCUGUCGCCGAUUAUGAAGCAAAGUUUAUAGCUUUGUCGAGGUUUGCACCUAAAUUUGUACAGGAUGAAGAAGAUAAAUGUAUGAGGCUCCAAGAUGGGUUAGAAGCGACUAUUAAAUCCAGAGUUUCAGUUUUUGAGGAGACAAAUUACAAUAGACUUGUAAACAAAGCCGUGAUUGCUGAAAGAGAUGUGAAAGAAUUGCAAGAAAGAAGGGAACGAUAUAAAAGAAAUAGAUCUGAGCCAACACAGUUAAGGAGAGGUGAAGCAGGAUCUUCGAGUCAGAAAGGUCAAUAGUCACAGUAUGGAUGGUGACGGGGUAGUGAGUUUCAGGGGCAAACAUCAGGCAUUGGAAGAGGUCAAGGGUUUUCUUAACAACAAUCUGUACAAUAAGGUAGCUUUGGGGGAUGUGGUACUAGUAGGGGGUGUUUUCACUGUGGAAGGGAAGGUCAUCAGAAAAAAUAUUGUUUAGUAUUGAAGGUAAAAGAGUGUUAUCAUUGCCAUUAACUGGGUCAUCGAAAAAGAGAGUGCCUAUGUUGACAGGAGUGACCUCAGUGGGUAGUGUUGUUGGUUCUGGUAGAGGUUUUGCACAGGGGAGCUCAUCAAGAGGAGGUAGGGGUGCUCCAAGUAGUUCACAAGCUCGGGGAAGAGUGUUUGCUAUGACACUUCAGGAUGCUCAAGCAACACCGGAAGUUGUGACAGGGUUUGGUUGCCACUGCCAAGUCUAGAGUCUUGGGGUAUUGAAUUGGGAAAGAAGCAACAUACAGUCUUUUGUAUAAUACGUAAUUAUUGUAGAAGAAUUUGGUAGUAGAACUUGUAAUUUAUGGUUCAGUUGUGUCAGAUUUGUGUAAUUGGCUUGUGAUUUGCUUUGUUUGUAUUUUGUUUAAACUACUAAACAGGCACACUGACGUGUGAUGACAUCACGUAGCUAUGAUGUUAAUGAAGAUGGUUAGAUGCAUUCCAAUUGUUCAAUUUAUUAAAUAGUGUAAAUUGGGCUGGGUGCGUCAAAUCUUUAAGAAAAAAUUGUUGACGGGGCAAUAGUAUAGUUUUUCUUUAAUUUUAGUGGGGGCAAACUCAAUUUUUUUUAAGUAUAUAAUUCAAAAAAAGCAAAAUUAGUGGGGUGUGAUAGCAAAAAGAAAAAAUUUGAGUCGGGGCAAUUGCCCCCAAGCCCAUCACAGGUCCGUCCCUGCUUGGGGCAAUUUUUGAGAGUGAUGGUAGAGGUAGAUGUACGUGAAAAUCAAGUGAUCAGUGUUGAUGGAAAAGGAAUGUAAUAUUAACAUUGAAUGACUGG